GAAGGAACAUUGCUCGGCGCACACACAAGAAAACACACAAGACCGAGUCAGCGCUCAGGCAACGCCAUUGCCAAUCACUCAACUUCCACCACUUUCAAUGACGGACCCACGAGCGCCACUGCCAUCUUCGUCUUCGUCUUCGUCUUUACCUCCCAAUGAUUUAUUACCCAAUCGCUUCAAGGUCAUCUGGCGCGUUCUAUUGAUCUCCAAUUUCGCCCUUUCAGAGCAUCAAGAUCAACUAGGCUUGAUGGAGGGAACGAAGCCUUCUAUGGCUGAAACCUCCCAAAAUAAAGAGGCGGAGACACCCACCGUCCUAUCAUCGAACACUACGACCAAAUGCUUGUAGUCGGUCGAAGGUUCUGUUGAUGAUAUCAUGAAGUUACUAGAAAAAAUUUCUCUUCGGUUGGAUCAAUUAUUUGAAGGGCAAAAACAACUUCAAGAUUUGGUAAACCCUACCCAAAGAGUUGAAGUCGAAAGGAAUCUUGGUGAUCAAGAACGGCAACAAAACACCUACCAAUCUCAAAUCUUUCCAAGAAACGUCCAAGAACCUCUUAGUCAUGUUCCAGAACAACCAAGACGGGGUGUUAUCAGAGGAGACAACAACAAUUUGAAGAACUAUCCAGUGAAGAAGAGGAGGAAGAAGAGAAUAGGGAGUGGGGUAUGGACAGAAAAGCUCGCAGACCACAAGUUCAAAGAGAGGAAUACAACGACUACAAAACUGUUUUCGAAUUGGAGCCUGCGCGACUCAAAUUGGAAAGGAAAUCGACGUCGAAAAUGGAGGAAAGUGACUCGACCCACAAAUCUCAUCACAACAUUAAAGAUGUUGAAAUCGACGUCGGAGAGGUAGAAGAAGAAAAUACCUAUGGGCAAACUUAUUUGAAGAAACUUGAAAACCUAAUUCGAGUCAAUUGUGAAGCAACGUGGGAUAUGACAUAUUUGGAAUUGAAAAAAUGUGGGUAUUCUGGCGAAAUUGGUGGCAAGGCUGAGAUGGCCGAACUGACAGAUCCGACGAAGAAAGAAGAAGAAGAAGAAAAAGAUUGCGUAGCUGACGAAGAAGAUCAUCGGAGGCCGAUUGACAUCCCAUUCGCAGUCGUUUACAAGAGAGAAAAAGAUGAAGCAAUGCUAGACAUUUACUGCAGCCACUGGGCACGUGACUGAAUUUACCUUACUAACUUCAAACAUUAGCUGGAAUUUGGAUUAUAUAUCAGCACCUACAUGUUUGCAAGUGCAAGGAAGAAACAUUUUGAUCAACUGGAGAAUGAUCAAGUAGAAAAACAAAGUGAUAGUGAAGUUAUUACUGAAAUCCCCUCAACGCUUAUGGUAGAUACCACUAGCAUAGUUACUGAGAACAUGUUGGAAGAUCAGCAGCAAGAACCAAACCAGUGGAUGGUUAGUGGUUGGAGAGAAAAGUUAGGUUUUAGUAAAAAAGUAAAUUGAUAGUGAGAUGCUGUUUAUCUAUCAGUUUAUUCUCUCAUAACUGAUUAGAGCCCAUCCAGGUAAAUAUAUUCAGUUGCUGUAAAAUUUUCUUUUAAGACUCUUUUGUAGGAGAAUGAUAUCUUCUUGUAGGUUUGUUACAAUUAUGUAACAUAAUUCAAAGAACAUUAGCUCAUUUGAUAGUCA